CAUAUCAAUAAGCGGAGGAAAAGAAACCAACAGGGAUUCCCCCAGUAGCGGCGAGUGAAGAGGGAAGAGCUCAAGCCGAAAAUCUCCGGCGGCGACGUCGGCGAAUUGUAGUUUGGAGAAGUGCGUUCAACGCGUGGCCGUGCCGGUCAAAGUUGCUUGGAACGGCACGUCGCGGAGGGUGAGAAUCCCGUGUGCGACCGGUCGGCCCGCGCCACGAAGCACUUUCGGAGAGUCGGGUUGUUUGGGAAUGCAGCCCAAAGCGGGUGGUAAACUCCAUCUAAAGCUAAAUACGAGCACGAGACCGAUAGCGAACAAGUACCGUGAGGGAAAGGUGAAAAGCACUUUGAAAAGAGAGUUAAAGAGUACGUGAAACCGUUGGAGGGGAAACGAAUGCGGUCAGCAAAGCACCCGUUGCAGAUUCAGCUGCGUCCGACGGCGCCGGUCGGCGUGCGGAUUCUCAGGAACCGUCGUCGGCAGGACGGUCGGCGGACGCGUCGCACUUCUGCCCGGUGCGAGCCAGCGUCGGUGGGCGGCGGCGUCCGGCGUUUGCGUCAGGUGACCCCUGGUCUCCGGAUCGGGGGCGUUACAGGCGCGGAGGCAGGGCGCGGCCGACGACCGAGGAGACGAAUUGAUCGGUGGCGGCCCGCGCUUUUGGCUAGAGGCGGCCGGUCGGCGUCGGUGUCACGCCCGUGGACUGCGUGCAGUGCUCGGGAGGUGGGACCGGGCCGGCGGGUCGGCCCCUUCGUAGACGGGCCUCGGACGUUGGCGGUGAAAUGGUCUCAUUCGACCCGUCUUGAAACACGGACCAAGGAGUCUAACAUGUGUGCGAGUCGUGGGGUGGGAAACCUCGUGGCGCAAUGAAAGUGAGCUUGGAGACGAGAGGCCUGCCCGUGCGGCGGGCCGCAUCGUCGGCCGACCUGGCCUGUUCUCAGAAAGGUUUGAGUAGGAGCGCGCGUGUUGGGACCCGAAAGAUGGUGAACUAUGCCCGAAUAGGGUGAAGCCAGAGGAAACUCUGGUGGAGGCUCGUAGCGAUUCUGACGUGCAAAUCGAUCGU
rnacentral:rRNA from 1 species